AACGAACGCUGGCGACAUGCCUAACACAUGCAAGUCGAACGAAGCCUUCGGGCUUAGUGGCGCACGGGUGCGUAACGCGUGGGAAUCUGCCCUUGGGUUCGGAAUAACAGUUAGAAAUGACUGCUAAUACCGAAUGAUGUCUUCGGACCAAAGAUUUAUCGCCCAAGGAUGAGCCCGCGUCGGAUUAGCUAGUUGGUGAGGUAAAGGCUCACCAAGGCGACGAUCCGUAGCUGGUCUGAGAGGAUGAUCAGCCACACUGGGACUGAGAUACGGCCCAGACUCCUACGGGAGGCAGCAGUGGGGAAUAUUGGACAAUGGGGGCAACCCUGAUCCAGCAAUGCCGCGUGAGUGAUGAAGGCCUUAGGGGUUGUAAAGCUCUUUUGCCAGGGAGAUGAUGACUGUACCUGGAGAAUAAGCCCCGGGCUAACUUCGUGCCAGCAGCCG
rnacentral:rRNA from 1 species